UACAGAGGUCUCAAGCGUUGUUCGGAUUCAUUGGGCGUAAAGGGUGCGUAGGCGGCGCGGUAAGUCGGGUGUGAAAUCUCGGAGCUUAACUCCGAAACUGCAUUCGAUCGUGCCGUGCUUGAGGAGCUGGAGAGGAGACUGGAAUUUACGGUGUAGCGGUGAAAUGCGUAGAUAUCGUAAGGAAGACCAGUGGCGAAGGCGGGUCUCGUGGGACAGUUCC
rnacentral:rRNA from 1 species